AGUGAACGCUGGCGGUAGGCCUAACACAUGCAAGUCGAACGGCAGCACAGUAAGAGCUUGCUCUUACGGGUGGCGAGUGGCGGACGGGUGAGGAAUACAUCGGAAUCUACUUUUUCGUGGGGGAUAACGUAGGGAAACUUACGCUAAUACCGCAUACGACCUACGGGUGAAAGCAGGGGAUCUUCGGACCUUGCGCGAUUGAAUGAGCCGAUGUCGGAUUAGCUAGUUGGCGGGGUAAAGGCCCACCAAGGCGACGAUCCGUAGCUGGUCUGAGAGGAUGACAGGCCACCCUGGAACGGGGACACGUUCCAGACUCCUACGGGAGGCAGCGGUGGGGAAUUUUGGACAAUGGGGGAAAGCCUGACCCAGCCAUCCCGGGUGGUUGAGGAAGGCUUUCGGUUGUUAAGCCCCUUUUUUUGGGAAGGAAAGCAGGCGGUUUAUACCCCGCUUUUCUUGACGGUACCAAAGGAUAAAGACCCGCCUAACUCCUUG
rnacentral:rRNA from 1 species